AAACACAAACAAGCUGAAGGUAGAUAAAUUUCACAAGAACUCAAUGAAGAAGUUUCUCCAAGUAGGGGUAGAGUGAGGCUCUCAGCGAUUAGCAGGCAGUGUCCUGACCAGAGCUGAGGGGCUGGAUAAGAACCAGAGGCUGAAAGAAAGCCCUAAUAUUAGGAGCAUAUCGGGCACAGUUGGGGCAAGAAGGAGUGCUCCCCGCCCAAGCCAAGCAUGGUAGCACAUACCUGUAGUCAUAGAACUUAGAAGAUAGACACAAGAAGAUACAGAAUUUGAGAUCCUCAUGAACUACCUAGUAAGUUCUAGGCUAGUCUGGCCAAAAAAAAAAAAGGUGUCCCAGCCUCUCAGCUUGCCCUGUGAUGCCCUGACACUGUCUCCACUUGGACAAACUCAACAUGAAGGCAAGGGUAUGUGCUCCACAGGGACCAGCAUCCACAUGGAGAACAGGGUCAAGCAUGGCCCUGGAGCAUCAUGCUCUCCCAGGUCACUCUAGCAUCACAGUGCAAAGAAGCAAUCGCCUGCCAUGGGAGGAGACCACUGAGGAAGACAACAGGAUUCAGCCUCAGUCUAGUGGCCACAUUUUACCUUGGAUCUCACAUUCCAGUAUGUCAGAGUGCCAGAGGGACCUGAAGCAACCACACUUCUCUUAUCAACUUUUUCCUGCCUACCAAAAGUGGCCCAUGAAGCUUCCACUAUUAGCCCCUUGGAAUCAGGACAUUGAAUGAAUUGAUAUUGGUUGAGCACCUAUGAUACCCAGUACCAAUCUACAGCACACCCAAUGUAGCUUGACAGUUAAAUACACCUGCUUGGAGAUUAAAAGUGAGGUUCAAUGGUAGAUCACUUGCAUGGCAGGUACAAAGCCCGGACUCCAUCCUAAACCUAAAAAAUGAAAAAAAAAUUUUUUUUUCAACUCAGUUUGGAAGCAGGCCAAUGGGGAGGGCUCAGCACAGGACAUUUCCAUCAUCUCCCGGGGAAGGUGUGGCAGAUGGAAAAAAGGGAUCACCAGAGGGUAAGGGGUUUCCCAGGGACUCUCCUAGUGAUGACUUUUGAACCCAACCUAAAGUCAGUAACAGCCCACUGCACACCAUAGGGCACCUUUCCCAUCAGAAGCCGCCAUUGUUUUGAAGAGGCAUAGACAAACGCAUCCUAUAGUCUUAUAUUUCUGGUGAUUAUUGCUUCUUUUUUUUAAGAUUUUAUUUAUUAUAUGUAAGCACACUGUAGCUGUCUUCAGACACACCAGAAGAGGGUGUCAGAUCUUGUUACAGAUGGUUGUGAGCCACCAUGUGGUUGCUGGGAUUUGAACUCCAGCAGACCUUUGGAAGAGCAGUCGGGUGCUCUUACCCACUGAGCCAUCUCACCAGCCCUGAUUAUUGCUUCUUUAUUGUGGACAGAUGUGCCUGGAUAUGGGCCUGGUGGCCUCCUUGGCUGGCAGUUACAGGAAUCAUCCAGAGAGAAGGAAAAUGGCAGAAACCGGAAGUGCAAUAUCGACACAAGGGGACCGGGCUGAAUUCAUCUUGUCCUUUUAUUGAAACUAACAGUGGCAGGGACUUGAGUGGUGGCCUCAGGAACCCCAACACUUUCCAUAAGAUAGCUACCCCUCAUAUCCUGGCCUCCAGAGCUGAAAGAUGACCCUGUCUCACCUACAAGACCUUGGGACACUGUCUCUGCGCUCAGAAAUCUGGGCUCUGGGAAGUCAAUGCUGAGAUGUUAGAAAUGAGCUUUGAUGCAAACUAGACUGGUCUUUGAUUCCUGAAGAGAACCUUUUCUAUGUGACAGUGAGAGCUCAAUCUUCCAGGUCUCAGUUUCCACAUCUGUGAACUCCUGACAUCGGGUGCACCGAGGUCAUGUGUUUGAGCGGGGAAGGGAAGGGAACACAGCACCGAGGGAUCCAAAGCUGUGGUCUCCUGCCAGCCUGGGCUAGGGAUAGCUGAGCACACCGAGUUCUUUAGACAGACUCAAGGCUGGCUCCUGUCUGUGGCCUCGCAGCUCCCCGGCGCCCUCUGGCCAGGGUUUCCUGUCGUCCUCCUUUCCUCCUUUCAGAAGAGGAAGCAGCUUCCUCUGGAGACCUUUGUCCUGAGCCCAGCCCUGGAAUGCUGAAGGCCAUUCACUUCGUGCUGAGUGUGUUGAACCACUUUCUGGGUUUAAGAAAAUAUAUUAUUGUUUACCUAACAGUU
ensembl:lincRNA Gm11497 predicted gene 11497